rnacentral:rRNA from 1 species
AAUACAUGCAAGUCGAGCGAAUGGAUUAAGAGCUUGCUCUUAUGAAGUUAGCGGCGGACGGGUGAGUAACACGUGGGUAACUCUGCCCAUAAGACUGGGAUAACUCCGGGAAACCGGGGCUAAUACCGGAUAACAUUCUGAACCGCAUGGUUUGAAAUUGAAAGGCGGCUUCGGCUGUCACUUAUUGGAUGGACCCGCGUCGCAUUAGCUAGUUGGUGAGGUAACGGCUCACCAAGGCAACGAUGCGUAGCCGACCUGAGAGGGUGAUUGGCCACACUGGGGAUGAGACACGGCCCCGACUCCUACGGGAGGCAGCAGUAGGGAAUUUUCCGCAAUGGACGAAAGUUUGAGCGAGCAACGCCGCGUGAGUGAUGAAGGCUUUUGGGUUGUAAAACUUUGUUGUUAGGGAAGAACAAGUGCUAAUUGAAUAAGCUGGCACCUUGACGGUACCUAACCAGAAAGCCACGGCUAACUACGUGCCAGCAGCCGCGGUAAUACGUAGGUGGCAAGCGUUAUCCGGAAUUAUUGGGCGUAAAGCGCGCGCAGGUGGUUUCUUAAGUCUGAUGUGAAAGCCCUCGGCUCAACCGUGGAGGGUCAUUGGAAACUGGGAGACUUGAG